GUAAGGAUAAAAACACAUUCCGGUUGGUAGUCCGGAAGCAUAGCCGCCUGCCGCGGUAUAUGUCAGUAACCUGCCUCCUUGGUUGUCCGUUCCUUACU
rnacentral:ncRNA from 1 species